GACUAAUCGAACCAUCUAGUAGCUGGUUCCCACCGAAGUUUCCCACAGGAUAGCUGGAACUUUUACAGUUUUAUCAGGUAAAGCGAAUGAUUAGAGGCCUUUGGGACGAAAUGUUCUAAACCUAUUCUCAAACUUUAAAUAGGUAAGAAGCCUCGCUUGCUUAAGUGAAGCGGGGCACUGAAUGUGAGUUCCAUGUGGGCCAUUUUUGGUAAGCAGAACUGGCGAUGCGGGAUGAACCGAUAGUCGGGUUAAGGCGCCCAA
rnacentral:rRNA from 1 species